rnacentral:lncRNA from 1 species
GAUCAUCAGGAUGGUUGCACAAUGUUUUGAAUGUAAAUGCCACUGAAUUGUACACCUUAAAAGGGCUCAAAUGACGUCAUUAGCACCCACCCUCCCAGAUGUGACAAUCAGAAAUGUGUCCAGACAUAUCCAGAUGUCCCUUAUGGGGAAGGGAGAAUCGCCCUGGCUUUGCAGACUCCAGCUGGAACCCCUGCUGCAAGGGAUGGAGGAGCAACAGCUCGGCAAUCUGGAGGCAAGGUGGGAGGCGGAGAAGCACGGAAACGAAGUCUCUCUGGCUCAACCAGCAAAAGUGAACCACUCCCCAGCAGUGGAAACCGGGGCUUCCUAGAAGAAACGAUGCACUCCCCACCUCCCUCUGUUUGUGCUGCAGUGAAAACUGACACGAGAGAUUCAUUGGAACAUGUGCCCUCGUUCCACUCUCAUCAGCCCACCGCGGGGACAGGAGCUGUUCAUCUUUUUGGCUCUGCUCGCAGC